AAUAAGUGUAAGUUUUGCACUAUUUAUAUCCAACGUUUGACCGUUCAUCUUAUUUAAAUUUUUUUUUAUUAGUAUUUUUAUGGUUAUUAGAUGAUAAAACAUGAAUAAUACUUUAUGUGUGACUAACUUUUUUAUAUUUUUUAAAUAAGACGGACGGUCAAACAUUGGACACAGAUAUCCACGACUGCACUUAUU
rnacentral:pre_miRNA from 1 species